CCUACGGGAGGCAGCAGUGGGGAAUAUUGCACAAUGGGGGAAACCCUGAUGCAGCAACGCCGCGUGAGUGAUGACGGCCUUCGGGUUGUAAAACUCUGUUUUCAGGGACGAUAAUGAGGGUGCCUGAGGAGGAAGGCACGGCUAACUACGUACCAGCAGCCGAGGUAAUACGUCGGUGGCGAGCGUUGUCCGGAUUUACUGGGCGUAAGGGGAGCGUAGGCGGGCUUUUAAGUGAGAUGUGAGAUACUCGGGCUCAACUGGAGUGCUGCAUUUGAAACUGGAAGUCUAGAGUGCAGGAGAGGAGAAUGGAACUCCUAGUGUAGCGGUGAAAUGCGUAGAGAUUAGGAAGAACACCAGUGGCGAAGGCGAUUCUCUGGACUGUAACUGACGCUGAGGCUCGAAAGCGUGGGUAGCAAACAGGAUUAGAUACCCGGGUAGUC
rnacentral:rRNA from 1 species